rnacentral:lncRNA from 1 species
GUUUAGUACCCUAUCUUUAGUAACUUGUCAAGGUUUGGUGCAUUUUGAAGUUUUUUUUCUAUAUUUUUUCAUUUAGUUGCGACUCGUUCCAUUUUUUCCGACGAAUUCGAUUUGAACUGCAGGUGCAUGGAAUAAUAGUGUCCUAUGGUUACAACGUUGCUAUUCUUGCUUGUGUGGAUGCAAUUAGGUCAAAUCCAUGUCCUGGCAGCAACUGUCGAUGAGCGUGCUCGCGGGGCAACGCUUCCAACUUGCGUGCGCGGGGUUUUUUAAUUAUAAAAAAAUCAAAUGAACUCGGAAAACCACGAAACUUGUCCACCGUCCUUGAUAUGGUAUGGGAAGGCUAUGAUAAAAAUUUGAAAAAGUUUGGAGCAAGUUUGCACGUCGGACGUUCAGAAACCCAACA